CACGUAGGGGGCAAGCGUUGUCCGGAUUUAUUGGGCGUAAAGAGCUCGUAGGCGGCUCAGUAAGUCGGGUGUGAAACCUCCAGGCUCAACCUGGAGACGCCACCCGAUACUGCUGUGGCUUGAGUCCGGUAGGGGAGCGUGGAAUUCCUGGUGUAGCGGUGAAAUGCGCAGAUAUCGGGAAGAACACCCGUGGCGAAGGCGGUUCUCUGGGACGGUACUGACGCUGAGACGCGAAAGCGUGGGGAGCAAACAGG
rnacentral:rRNA from 1 species